AUGGCCGCCGAGGAGCCUUCCUAUUUCCGUAGUGUUCCUCUUCAGCAAGAGAUUCACCAAAGGGAGCUUCGCUUCAAGCUGUACAUGCGCCAGAUCGCUGAAACCCACGGAGACCAGCAAAAGAACCAGCAAGUUAUAGUGGACAUGAAGCAAGCCAACAAGUUUGGCACCCUGGCUGUUCAAGACUGGACCAUACGGGAUGGCCCUGGAGACGACGCAAAGGAUGUUGCGUGUGCCCAGGGCCUGCAUCUCGGGGCCAGUAGUACCAAGGAAACCCCAAGCUGGUUUACCUCUUUCAGUAUAGUGUUUACCGGCGACGGCGAGAGUGAUAAAUUUCCCCUUAAGUUCAAGGGAUCCAGCCUUCAGGUGAUGGGAACCUGGACCGGAGAAGGCAGUACCAAAUUGGCGAUCACCGGUGGGACCGGAGAGUUUGCCAAUGCACAAGGUUUUGCCACUCACACAAUAGUAGACGGAGAUGAUAAGCCUCGUGAUGGCAGCAUCAGGAAGCUUGUGAUCGAUGCUAUGUGUCUCACCUUUCCGACCCCGAAACAAGUUCGUGUAAAGAAGUCGGGACCAUGGGGUGGGAAUGGAGAAGAAGAACAUGACAUUCUAGAGCUGAAACCUCAACGUCUAGAAAGUGUGACGAUUACAAGUGGCAUUGUCAUCAACUCAAUUGCAUUCACCUGUAUCGAUCAAGCCGAAAAGAAGCACAACAUUGGUCGUUCAUGGGGCCGUGAUGGUGAACUCCCUGCGGACCUGGGCCGUGAGACGAUCCAUUUUACUCGUUCAGAAAUUGUGAAAGAAGUUUCCGGAACAUUUGGUACUUUUCGUGGAGAUACUAUUGUGACAUCACUUACUUUCGUCACUACUUUGAGGACACGUGGACCUUUUGGAAAACCAAAUGGUACUGCUUUCAGUGUGCCUAACACUAACAUUGUGGGCUUCUUCGUGCGUGCUGGGAGCGUUGUUAAUGCACUUGGAGUGUAUGAAUUGCUCGAGAAUAACAACUACUAA
rnacentral:rRNA from 1 species